UACGUAGGGUGCGAGCGUUAAUCGGAAUUACUGGGCGUAAAGCGUGCGCAGGCAGUUCGCCAAGUCAGGUGUGAAAUCCCCGGGCUUAACCUGGGAAUUGCGAUGGAGACUGCAAGGCUAGAAUCUGGCAGAGGGGGGGUAGAAUUCCACGUGUAGCAGUGAAAUGCGUAGAGAUGUGGAGGAACACCGAUGGCGAAGGCAGCCCCCUGGGUUAACACUGACGCUCAGGCACGAAAGCGUGGGGAGCAAACAGG
rnacentral:rRNA from 1 species